GUCAGGAUGGCCGAGCGGUCUAAGGCGCCAGACUUAAGUUUCCAAACUUGCUCCGCUAAUGCACAGCCAGAGGGCUUUCUGGUCCACUAAUGUGGGCGUGGGUUCAAAUCCCACUCCUGACA
rnacentral:tRNA from 1 species